GGGUCAGUGUUAAUCAGUGGUACCUGAAGAGAGGUUUUCUGGGUUUCUGUUUCUUUCAUGAGGAUGAAACACACCCAGUUAACCUCUUUUCCAGCAUUUGCCUCUCCUUGGAGGCCUU
rnacentral:precursor_RNA from 12 species